UUUUAGUGAUAGCACAGACUGAGGCUGCAGGAGCAGACAGAAGGAUGGAGAGAAUCGAUGUGAGAGGUAGAAAUUAAAAGAGAGCAGGGGAGCAGUGCACAACAGGAUUCCCAUGCAGACUGUGACAGACAUGUACUCAAAGAAGCAGCAGAAGGGGGUAAAGAGAGGGAAAAAAGGAGCAAACUUGCAUCACUGAACACAGCAAGUGGGUAGACACUCCUGACAGAGGAGGAGAGAAGAAACCACCUGUAAUAGAGAUUAUUAGCAGACAAGUAUUUAAAGGCAGACUCCUGACUCUGUUGGUGUCUCUCUCAUUCCCUUUUGUGUCUCUGUGACUGUAUAUCCACAGGCUGUUUCUCCAUCUGUCUCAGCAGGAUGCAGAGGCGUCAUUUUGGUGCCUGGAACUAAGAGAAAUGCUGAACGGAUCCUGGCACACUGCUGGAGAGAGAGGAGACAAAAAAAACUGAGGAACAUUUGCAGGCUUCUGGAAGGAAAAGGGAGGAGAGAGCAGUAUGAGUCAGAGCACAGCAGCUAGAAUACUGGGUAUUCUGCAUGCAAGAGGAGAGGUAGAGGGAGUUGGAGGAACAAUGAGAGAGAUAUAGGGAAAGAAUAGAGAGGACUUGAGCAGAAUUGAGGAGUCAUUAGACAGAGGAAGGACAGGAUGAAGACAGAAGUAGCCACAUUGGCAGGCAGUGAGUGAGAAAUAGGCCACGUGAAUCAGUUCGCUAGAGGGAGAGGAAGGCAAGAAGAGGUUUAGAAAGUGGAAGGUUUGGUAUGACUGAAAAGUGUUGAGGGAAGGUUGAAUGAAGGUUUGCUGCAGGGGGGGACAGUGGACAGGGAAACAGCGAAGGACAAACUUAAUGAAAAACUACUUGAGCAGCUACAGGGGAGAAAGUCCUGAGUGACUGUGUCUUGCCUCAGGGUGGGAACAUGACUGAGGUUUGCAUAUGGGAGGACAAGCUUCAAGAAGGAUAACCAUAGAAAGGAGAGGAAAUGGUGGAAAAACUGAACAGAACAUAAAGGUGAGGAACAAAUCAGGCCAGAUCAAAGAAACAUUUAACAUCCUAGCAGAGCGCUAAAAGGAGAGUAAGAGAGACGCGCACUGCAGACCAGAGAAAAUGUCAUCCAAUGCACAACGACAGGGACAUGGAAACUUUAACUGUGACAGAAACACAGCAAGAAGUUCCUGUUAAAUAUUGAUGCUGACAGGCCACUCUGGAAAGAGCUCACUCCUUGCACCACAGAGAGGGAAACAGAAGGAAGAAACAAAGCAGUUUUUUUUUUUAUUCCGUGGGAUUUCUGAGACAAGCUGUUAAGUGUGUCAAAUGACAGCCGAGCGUGGUCAAGUUCUGGAUGUUUGUGUUUGUCCAGCUGUGCAGUUUCUUGGGAGAGAGUGGAACGACUACAGAAACAACUGGAUCUUUAUGUUGUUUGGGAACAGCAGGGAAGGAGGGAAUUAACAUUUGAGAGAUCACUGAGACCUUCUUUCUGCGAGAACAAGAAUCAGCCCCGGCUGAUGAAUACAGAUUUCUAUUUUGGAUUGACACGCUGUACCUGCUUUGACAGGCACCCUGGGGUACAUCACUGCCAGAAGAGAAAAGCCAAACACUGCUGUAGCAUUCAUAAAUGUUUUUUGUUUUUAUUUUUAUCCUGGACUGAUAGGAGCUGUUCCAACUAUCUCUGGAAAUGGCCUUAUUACAAAGAUUUGGCCAGUUGCUGUAAUGGCUUGAGGAAAUACAAGUGUGGAAAACACGAAGGAUCCUUUAAUUGGAAGCAGGAUGUAUACUUCCUUUUGUCUCCAUGACUAAAUAAGCCAUUAUGGGUGAUUCUCCAACUUAAUGCCAUCAAGGAUUUAAGAUAGAGACUUCCUUCAGUUCGACCUGAAUCACAGAUUCCUCAAAACAUCAGGACAAUAACGCGGAACGCCACCGUCUCCAUUCAGCCGCGGACAGACCAGCUGCAUGCUUAUGUGUGUGUGUGUGGCUGCAAGAACUGUCGAGGAGCUCAACUGCCUGUGUGCGUAUGAUUGUGUGGGUGUGGGUGUAGAGGUGUGUGUGUGUGUGUGUGUGUCACACCAGCUGUGUCUGAGUGAAUUUUCAAAGCAUCGCCGGGAGCUGUGUGAGUGUGUGUUUGUGUGUGUGUGAGUGUCGCCUGGAUUCUCCCCACCAGCGACAGAGCUGGACCUGAACAGCAGUGGUGAGAGGGGGGACAGGGAGGGGGAGGAGGAGAAGAAGAAAGAAACCAGCAGGACAGAGGAGAAGAAAAAACUGACAACAUGCUUGGAUAAAGAAAGGAAAGAAAGGAGUUUUUGGCUGCCCCCCUGGUGCAAUGUGUGGUUGGCCAAGGUCAAAGGUGACAGAGCAACUCAGACUCCAGGAGUAUGAAGAUCACAUUAUUGGAUGCAGUGGACACAUUAUGGUCACAUUAUGUUUCAAUCUACUGAUUCACACAAUUUAUUGUAGGUCACAUGAUACAGUGUCCAGUGGGUCACAUGACAUGCCUGGCAACUGAAUGUCAACAGAACCAACACCAACACCAUGUUUAACCAUACAGGAUGCCCACAGUAUUAAUUUCAGAGGAUGUUACAGCAAUGUAGACAAAUGUGUUAUAGCCCCGCACGCAGCCACCAGUGAUCAAUAACAAGGUAUGUAUCUCUCAGUAUACGACAACCGAUGGUUGUUAAAUCAUGUCAGAGGAUUUAAUGACCAGACAACACACACACUGCUGAUUAACAUCACUAUUGUAUGUAGCUUGUUAACAUUAUGGCCAAUUUCUAUUUGUGAACAUUAACUUUCUACCAACACCAAAAACUAGAAAAGACUCCAUUCCAUGAGAUGUCAAGUCUGAAGCUGAAACUGGAGAUAAUAUAUGGCACCCUGUCCCAUUAAUACACUCAUUAUUGCUUCUGGAUGAUAGGAAAAAAGGCUUUUACUUGUGGAUUUGCUGUGAGGUGAAAUGUGCUUGAUGCCUGUGGUUGUGUGAGAGAUGUAUUUGAUAUCAUAGCUGCUAAUGCAUCACACGCUGCAGGGCAGUGCCGUUACUUCUCUUGUUGUUUUGGAAGAGAUUUACAGCUUCUCAAAACUUCAUAGACAGAUCUAGUUUAUUGAGCGCAUACCUAAAACAAUUUAGUGUUAAAAAUGUUAAUGUUAAAUUACUCUGAUUAUCUUAUCAAAAGUAUGGACAAACCAAUGCUCCCUUCUCUUGCUGUCAUGAAUACAGCACAUAUAUGGAGUCACUCUGUCUUACAGUAAAACAUACUCAUUCUGCCUUUCUCUCUCCUCACACACAAGAAAAUGUAUCCACACACACACACACACAUACACACACACACACACACACACACACACACAUGCACACUAUAGAAACACACAUGCACAAACGUGGAAGAAGCAGGGCUGUGGCUGAGGAGAAGUGACAGUCGCUUCAUGGCCGCCGGCCUCGUAUUCUAGCAGCGCUGGCCAGUUGAGCUUGUAAUGAGGCUGUGGAACGUUCUAGUGUCAUACGGAUCUGGUUCCCACACCAUCACUGCAUCGGCUGUGUGUGUGUGUGUGUGUGUGUGUGUGUGUGUGUGUGUGUGUGUGUGUGUGUGUGUGUGUGUGUGUGUGUUUCUGAGUGUGUGAGACAGAAACAAGAGACUUUGUGGAUGUAUGUAAAGCGUGUGUGUUUUUAUCUGUAUCCUUUAUAACGUGACUUCAAAAUCAGCUUACCAUGUGUUAAGAUAUCUUAUGACAACAAGCAGCUGGUCUUUACAGUUUAGCCAUGGCCCACACACACUCCCUUUAUGUGCUUUUAAAUGUGUGUUUCACUGAUCUCUGCAAAUAUUGCACACAGAGCCUGUAUUGUGGAAAACACAAAAGCUGUAAGAUCAGUGAUUGGGACUUUCUGUGGAGUCAAUAACACUACCAAUCAAUGACUCCAAUCAAUACCUGCUAUUCCUCCCUAGAUCAUUACCUGGUAGACCUGGUGCACCACAGAGAACUCAAUUUGUUUAUAUUGUAUUUGACAUUAUUUCGUAUUUUGUCUUGCUUACCAAUAAUGAAAUACCUAGGAGUGGGAUUAGGGUUAAAGAGGUAAGAGUAUACAAUGAGAUAAAGUAAAAAUCUAUCUGGCAUUCGGAAGUAACAGUUCUCUUGACGUUAGAUUCUCAAUUCAUCAGCACCAGAAAACUCAGGGGUUACCCUCACAUUAUCUAGUCUCAAUGGCAGCUGGUGAUUAUUUCCCUGAUUAAAUAAUCAUACGGCCUAAUAAGGAUGAGACACAUGGAGAUGUGAGGUUACCUUUAUUUGUAUUUGUAUUUUAAGGUAUUUUUUGAAGGAACUGAGGGGAGAGAGACGGGGAAUGAGACACAAUAGAGUAAUAGAGUUCUCCAGCUGGACUCAAAACCUCGAUUAUGAUUGUGGUCAGCAUCUCAAACCCCCAAUGCCCUCAGGACACCCCAGGACAGACUGAUCUGCAAUAAAUGGCAGGCUGGGAAGAUAAGAGCUUGUAGGGAAUCCUGAAGACAUAAAAUAAACAGCAGAGUUUGGUGAAAAAUCCACUCUGAAGAAUGUCUCUGAGGCAGUUAAACUAAUCACACAAGUCAAAGUGAAUUAAUCAUUUGUUAUAAGUGAGCAACAUGAAUUCAUGAUGCAGCCUGCAUUAAUUCAUGCUUUAAAUCAUCAUGAGUCAUGCAUGAAUUAUUCAAGUGUAUUUUGUGAUUUGUACCAUUAUUAUAAAGUGUUACUUUCUCUUUGCAGCUAAAAUCGAACAAUAUAAAGGCGAUGAAUGGGUAGCAUGUAUUGUGUUGGUAGGUAAACAGUGGUUAUAUGUAUAUUUCUGUUUUAAAUAUUAAAGAUAUUUAUUUCGAACUAAAAGAAAAUACCAAACAUAUUCUGUUCUGUGAUCAAGGAAUAAGUGGGAACGUUUGAUUGGUUAUGAUUGGUCGAUGUGUUAAUAAGAGUUGUACGAUGGUAAUUAUGCUCAUGAUAGGCUGCAGACCAGAUGUUUUUGUAAUGAUACAACAACAAUCAAGAUACGUUUCUAAAAUAUAUUAUUUUACAUCAUUUUGAGGCCACUUUAUAGACACCAUGGGUUUUAUACUCUGUAACUGUAUUCACAUCAACACAGUGACAGUGAGUCAAACUAGUGGAGAUGUUCAGAUACUGCAAAUGUUGACAGAUUACAGUUUAUCACGUCACUAAAAGGACGUGAUGGUAAUGAGCAAUAAAAAAUCCAAACAUUCUAUUUUUGAAGGCUCAAUGAUGCCUAACAGCUGCCGGCCAUGUGGCACAGGUGGUGCGCUGGUGACUGCGAGAAAUGAAAUGAAAUUAAUUUCCAUCCAAACGUCUUUCUGAGGGGAAGAAUGGAAUUUGCUGUUAUCAAAACUACCAUCAACCCUGCUAUGAUUGCUUUGAAAGAACUGAGUCAAUCCAGUGUGACUCACUAUUUUCCCAUCUAGACGUAACAACAUAAUUUACCAUGUUUGAAGGAUCUGAUCUUUAUUCCAUGUUUAAUCAUUCCACAAUAAUGCUAAAUUAUGGAUCAAAUACCACCUGCGGACAUGUUGCUGACCUGGGUCGGUGGGCACAUACAUUACUGUAUGAAGACUAUUUUGUGAUAUUAGAGUGAAAUUAGUGGUAGUGUAAAAGUAGAAGUAGUGUGGCUCAUUAAUAGCACUGGAGUCAAUUCAAAUAAAAACUUCUGAGGACAUUCAGUACUGCAUCACUGCAGUAGUGGGUAAACAAGGUUCACACAAGUGGAUAUAUACUGUUUAUACUGUAUAUGCACUCUUGUUAAUGAGAUGAAGUCAGCGAGGGUGCGGUGGCGUGAAGAUGUAGAAAUAUUGUACAGAUGAGAGCAUAUCCAUAAUAAAUGUAAAUAUAAUCCUCUAUUACAAAAUGAAUGAAGAAGGUAUGCCGAUUAGAAGCGCGAAUUACAGUACACAUGAGAUGAAACGUGUCUAUGUGGGACUGUCUCAAGAUAGUCUCACACACACACACACACGCACACACACACACACACACACACACACAUACUCUUAAUUUUCCAAUCUUUCUUCUCUUCCUUUCUUUUUGUCCAUCAUCUAUCUCCAGUAAUCUCAAAAAUAUGGAGGUUUGGAAUCUUACUGAAGCAGUAAUUAAGAUAUGUAUAUGAUGGCUGCAGGCAAAACUAUUUUAUCAAUCCCUCGACAAAUCUGCAACCCCACCAUUUUACCAAUCCCCACAUUAUCUGUAAAGGAUCGUAAUGUCCAAUCUUUGCAAUACUGCUGGGAAAAAAAUCAUUUUCUUCAAGUAAUAAUGCAAUUCAAACCCCUAGUGGUGAGACCUUGCCAGAUAAAAUCAAACCACCUGUUGAAAUCUUUCCAAUAUAACCUACAAUUAUUUUUUUUUAAUGAAGCUUGUUGAGAGCAUUACCCCCACCCUCAGAGGAAGCUCUACCUACAAUACAUGGCAAAAUAGUCCUUCAAGAACAUUAAAACCUCUUAGUUAUGUCUGCACAGAUUAAUGGUUGCUGUUUAUUCCAGGUCUGCUAAUACACCCAUACCAAAGAUAUUAUUUUACUUAAUUGGAGACUAAGGAAAUAUUUUUUCCCUUGUGUUAUUUGCUGUACAGUAAAAUAUGCAGUCUAUUUCCAUUCUAGAUGAGAUUACCUUGGUAGUGAAUGUAACCAGACUCAACCUCCCACAGUAAUGCACUGCAGACUGUGCUGCAGAUGGACCAUCCGUAGGGAAUUUAUAUCACACCCUACAUAAAUUAAUUUGACAGGGAAAUAAGCAGGGCAGCUAUCUGCACCAAUUAUGAUGAAUAUUAUGCAUGAGUUUCAUGGGGCAGACUGCCUUGCAUUGCUCAUUCAGCGGGGAAGCCUUUGGUGAAUUCCCCAGUGCUACUCUGUAUUGUGCUGCACAGCACAGUGUCCUCACUGUUUCUCGUUCCGAAUCAAGUUUAGUAUAAUAUUUGGCAUGUGCAGCUUUUGCAGUGAGCAGCUUCCAAUCAUGAUUACGUUAUGACUUUAAUUACACGUUUAAUCCCUUAUACUGCAGGGGGAACUUUUUAACUAAUCCCUCAGAUUAAAAUAGACAAACAUGAUUUAUUUCAAAAACAAUGCCACUAAUUGCUUGCACCUGUCACAGUACUCAAUUCAUGGGGGGAAAAAACCUUUACGAUUUAAUAUUGAAUUAUAUUUUAUUGUUUUAUGUGGAUUUUUAUCAUUAACAUCAUAAAUUAUUGCAAGACAAUCUCCUCUGAUUUCUUCUGCUGUGGUGGUUUGAAUGGUUGUAAUUCAAUAGAUGUAUUCAAAUAUUAAUUGGAAUGACUAAAUGCUUGAGCUGCUGCGGUUCAUUAAGAUUGUGUGUUCUUGAAGGGGGGGAAAGAACGAGUGGAAGAGAGAGAGUGUGUGCUUGGAAUGUGUUGGAAGGCUGCAGUUUUACAAUACGGCAUAAUACUGUGUAUUUGCAAAUAUGCAGCAUGUUUAUGUUCAGAAUGUGUGAUAAAUCAUGCUUGUCCUUUGUUUGUAGAAAGCGGCUGUGAGCCAAGCACUGACUCACUCUCCCUCUUUGUUUGGAUACACAUUCACACAUUCACAGCGUACACAUAAACUUCGACAAACAUAUUUAAAUCUAAAUGCUGUGAAUGCCUGGAGGAAGUCGCACAAUUCGACACACAUGCAGACACUGAACAUUAAAAAGAAAAAAACUAUCCUCUCGGGUCACUGUCUAAUUUCAAUCAGAAGUUCAGGGAAGAGAUAAGAAAGAGGAUGGGGAGACAUUGUCUCAUGCAAACUUUUACAGUUCUUAAUGCUGUAUUAAACACUGACUGUUAUAGUCAGUCCCAUUUUUUUUUGCCAUUUUCCCAUUUCUUUCCCGCUCUUAUCUUUGUGCUUUAUGGCCCUGAGUUUUGAGGUGUGCCAUGCAUUCUCUCUAAUUGGGUUGGAAAUAAUCACAUUACACUGUUGAAUGGCUAAGCUGCAUCAAAAGAUAAUGCUAUGUCCCUGUCCUUACUCUACACACACACACACACACACACACACACACAUACCCCUGGGCUGCCAGAACAGCUGCUGGAUGUGGAAAUGUUUACCCAGCGCACCAACAAAAUGAAAAGACGGAACAACAAGUGGAGAGCAGAGUAAAGCAAACAUAAAAGAAGAGGAAACAGGAGGAGAGAAAGUUCCUUUCUUUACUACUUUACUAACUUUUUUUGUUUACAUCUACAGUAUGUGCGCAGCAAAGUUAUCUAGGGGAGUGGUGUCAUCAAGUUGUGAUCAGGGAGAGGCUGAGAUUGUCUACAACAAUACAUCAUAAAACAACGCUUUUAUAACUGUCUGUAUUGUUUUGUGUAUUAUCAGAAUUAGCUGACGUAACUGACCAUUGGACCAGUUCAGUGUAGUGGAAAUCUCACAUCCUGUGUAGAAGCCCAGGAGCCAUUCUCAUUUUACUGCACACACAGAGAUAUAAAUACACACACGCUCGCUGUCCUCGUCCUAACCUAUCUUUCUCUCUGUGCUUUGAAACUGUCUCAAAGGACUGCAGAUAAUUCCCUCAUCAGUAUCAGACCUCAUUAAUUUUUAACGGACACCAUCGAUCUCACAUCAACGCUAAUGCCUAAUGACAGAGGAGGAAACAAAAAAGAUGAACAGGAAGAGAGGGGACUCAGGACUACAAAGGAAUCCUAACACCAGUUUGGAUUGAUGUCUGUAUGGCGUCGCGCCCUGUGGUGGUGGGGUUCUGUGAUGGUAACCAUGGUCCCCGGCGGCCGCUAUGUCUGCAGCGCUCACGCCAGAGAGGAAGACUCUGGGAACGACCGCGAGGAGCGAAUUUUAGCCGUGCUGGGCAUCAUCGGAACCAUCCUCAAUCUUUUAGUGGUCAUAUUUGUCUACAUUUACACCUCCGUCACUUGAGGUUUUCUGCAAGACUUCAGCGAGAGACAUUGGCGCUGUCCCCAACUUUUCUCCACGCUGCCACCCUGCUCUUUAAGUAUUUAUAUACUGAGAAGAUUAUUCAGAGUAAGCAGGAAGAUGUGAGGAUCAUUGGCAGCGAGUUCAGCUGGAUAGUAGCCAUAUUUGCCUACACCUGCAGCACUUCUUAUCCCCAAACACAGCUUGGAUCUGUUAGCUAAAGACUGCUGCCAGCUACAGCUACUUUUAAACUGUAUCUUCCCAUUUUUCAAGACAAUUUCACACAUCCACAUGUCAAAUGACUGCUGACAGUGACUGUGACAGUCUGAUAAUGACAUCUGUGUGUUCAUAUUGAUCCUGCAUUUCUGUGACUGCUUAGACAGCGAGAGUUGAGUGUCUUUGAUCUGAUGAUGGCCAUAUUUGACUGUGCUGCAUCUUCCACUUUGUCACAUGACACGUAACAGUGUUCGGUUUCCGUCUUUCCGCAAUCAAGCUCCUCUGUGGGGUUUAAGGUUUUAUCACUGCCAGUUAAAAUCUGCCAAAAUGGUUUAACAAACCAGGAGGAACACUCCUGAGCACCUUUAAACCUACUUGAAUAGAACAUUGAGACAUAAAUACAGAUAAUCAUUUCCGUAGUUAGUAGAGUCACUGAAAAAGUUUUACAUGGACCUAACGUGUCCACACCUGAGCACACCGGAGGAGAGGUUCCUGGCUGUGCUAGGAGUCAUUGGUAUUGUGCUCAACCUCCUGCUGCUUGUCUUCGUCUAUAUAUACACCUCCACCUGAUAUAUGUGCCUGAACACAGUAUCAGUUAUGAGAUAACCUAACCUAACAGCACCUGUAGCUAACAGCCAGGUGUGUCAGUGAAUGCAUCGUGUUCUUCAGCCACACCUGUACAUACUAAACAAAGCAUACCCUGGUUCAUAGCUGAUGUGAGAUGAUAUUCUUGAUGAGUUUCUGUGCCUAAUGAUCUUAAAAUAAAGCAAACAUGGUGAACAGAAGGCGAUGAGAGAAUUUAAAGGCAAAAGCAGCAAUACCCAGAGAUUAGGAAAAAGAGAUUUGUUCACAGACUUAUUUAUAAUAGAAAUACAUUUUACAAAAUAUAUCUUUUUUUGUAUUGAUUUGUGUCCUACAGUUAGUGUUUUUGUAGAUACAGUGCUCUUUCACAUAUAUGCAUGAUGAGGUGUUUACUUGUAUUACUAUAAUCUUUAUCACGCUUAGACCAAAAUACCUGGCGUAAAGGCUGCCAUUUUUACAGUAAUUCUGUUUCUUCUAUAUGUUUAUUGAUGUUGAAAACACCCAGACAUGGAACUAGAUGGUAACGAUGUCUCAGUCUGUGCAGGAGCUCUGCACAUCAUCGAAGAUCCCUCUGUGGAAGGUCAGUACCACAGAAUAAUGGUAUAUUUUCUGGUGUCAUGUGUCUGUGAUGGGAUCAGUAAGCCAGGCAUGGAGCAGCAUCGGAGAGGGCAAAGUGUUAGUAUGAGACAGUGUCACAUAAAUCAAAACAGUGUUCAACUGCAGCGCAGCACAAAGGAACGUAACAAGAGAAUCAGGUUGAAUCAGUGUGGACUGUCAGAAAAAAGAGGACAUAAAACCUCUGCACAAGACCUCACCAUCUGUCUCAAACUUUGUGAAGACACAAAAAACUCCUUGGGAUUGGGCUGCAGCAUUUCAGCUGGAGCUGCAUGUCACUAUGGAUAUGAUUUUAGGUUGACGCACUGUGCCUCUAAUGGAGAAGAAAACCUAAAUGCAGUUGACAUGCAAGCAGAGAGGACUGGCCUGAAUCUGCACUUCAUCCUCGUCAUUCUCUUCUCCACCAACAAGUUAACGCCAGAGAAGACAUAGUACUGAGAGGACGCACAUAAGUCUCUGCUGUCCUAGCACAAUACUUUUAUACACACACACACACACACACACACACACACACACACACACACACACACACACACACGCCUGUGAGCCAGAACAGACUUCAUUUCAUACACCAUCAGUCAGAUGUUUAAGGAAAGACACAACGAGGAGAAUCCCAAAAACUCUGGCUGCUCACUGCCCUACUUAUACUUUACAUGUUGGCUUGUGAGAGUAAGUGUCAAGAUUUUGAUAAUCAUUGCAUAAAAGGUCCCUUGUUACAUUGUGUAUGUAUGCUCAUAGGUUUUGGUAUCAGUUUAUCAUUGAGUGUCUGGGUAGGUGACAAAUCUAAAAGUCACUGCAUUGAAAAAUGUUUGGGUUGAAACUCAACGUGUAUGGUUUUGGUGGCCACAGUCUAUUUUUAUAAAGGGUAGAAGGUUCAGAUAAGUAUUUCUAUGGUCAUGUCUAGAAUGAAUGCUAGAUGAACAAUAAUUAGCUUUUACUAAGAAUAAUUAGAAUAUCACACACAUUUGUACUUCUUUACUGGAGGACCCUUAUUAAGUACUAGCAAUAGCCCCUCCCUCCCUCACUUUAAACACAAUGUGCUUAAUCAUUUAAACAAUUUACGUAACCUGAACCUGAAUUCUGGAUCUUAAAGGAAAGCCGAGGCUCAUCACACCUUUAUUUUAUUUAUUUUCUAAGCUCAGGGCAUCAAUUCUAUUGAUUAUGUUAACAUUGUACUCACCAAUGUAGUUGCUGAGAUCUGGGGAUGCUGAGGCAUUGCUAAAAAUAUCUCCAACACAGCAAGAUACACACAAGGUUACUCAAGUGGUAGCUAAUCUGGCAAAAACACUGUCUUAUCUACAACCCGUGUGAUCAUCUGACCGCUGCUACUUCCUGCUCCCUUGGAAUAGCAUUGCCAUGUUUUGAGAUCUUAGCAAUGAGUGGGAACCUGCCAAAAUAUCCCAAAAGCCUUCUCACUCUCAAAACCCAAUUUGGUCCUCACAAAGAUAACAAAGAAAUACACACACACACACACACACACACACACACACACACACACACACACACACACACACACACACACACACACACACACACACAGUAGCUACUUGCAUGUCUCUUCAUGAUUUUAAUUUUACACUAUCUUUCAACACACAUCACCGUCAGCAUACUGAGAUCAAUGUGACUUGCACAUUUACUUCCUGUCACAUCUAAUAACAGUAGAGUGGAGUUUGUUGAGCUAAAUCCAUUUUAAGUGUGCACCAAAGCACAGUGUGAGCUACCUUUGGUUUGCAAGACAUCUGCUGUAAGACUGUGACAGCUGUGCAGAAGAACAUUUGAAUAUACUUUGAAAGUACUGGAGAUAUUACUGCUUCACUUAAUGUUGGCAAACAAACAAACAACUGAAUAAGCUUUCAGCUUUAAGUUUAGCUCAGGUUUACUUACAUACUGGCAAAGGUUUAAAGGUUUUAUGGUACUGCUUUCUAAUAAAGCCCUCUUUUUAAAGGGUUUAUAAGCUGUUACUAAUGGCUUUUCUAAUGGUUUAUGAAUACUUACUAAUGUUUUACAGAUCAGUUAAUGAAGUAAUUCAUAAGAACAAGUUUUAGGUUGCCCUUUGGCUGGUGUUUAUCUAUUAACUAAUGUUUUAAUUGGUUGGUUAAUGGUUAACAGAUCCUUUACUAUCAUUUGCUAAUGCUCUAUGGCUUAUUAGAAAAUUAGAAAUUAGUGUUUGUUAAGUCAUUUCCAACAUCUAUAACCGUAUUAUUACUAAAUAGAGAGAAUAAACAGCUAUGGUUCCUAACGAAGGGUUCUAAUUGAUCUAUAAAGCAUUAGCAAAUCAUUUAUUAACCAUUGUCUAAAGGGUGCCUUACUCGACAGUGGUACCAGGGCUAAAAAUAUUUAAAAAUGUUAAUAUAUAUUUAAAACUAUCUAACAGUUGUUAGGCAGUUAUGACUAAGUCUAGGGCUGGGAUACAUUAUAUGUUAUUUUUUAUUCUGCAUGCAGUUCAAGGUUCAGUGCAGACCAGUUUUAACAUGACUCACUGCCAAGCUGACCGGUGAGAGGUGAGAGCCUGGAGGGCGAGUCCUGGCCAUCUGCUGUCCGAACCGACAUUCAACCACAUCCUCUUAUACACACACACACACACACACACACUUAUACACACACUCAAAUGUUUCAAAUAACAGCUUUUGAGAUUGUUUAUGAUUGAUUUGAUGCCUGUUUAUGGUAUUUUGUUUCACCAUUUUACAAGAUAAAUAGGUUAACAUGCCAUUGAAUGCCAGAGGGAAAACAGGUGCAUCAGAGUACACCUCGAACCCCUAACCACUGCCCCAGGCAUGGGUUGUUAACACAAAACACUGAAAACAGGGAAACUAUGUUCAAAGACAGGCAAAUGCUCAUCCUGAGUUGGAGCCAGCCAGCAACCGUGUUAUGUUCAGCCAAAGCAAAGAUGAAUUCUCAUGUUUUUUCAUGAUGUGUGCCAUGCGCUGAAUUGAUUUUGAGCGUGAGAAGACACACGCGGCACAGACUAUCUGUGUGGGACUAAAGAAAAUAAUGUGGACAAAAGGAUCCCUGAGAUAUUUUAAUGUUAUUUCAGAGCAACACAGCUGAAGAAUAUUGAGUUACAGAUUUAGGCAAAAAUGAGUCUAAUUUGCAUGGGAAGGCUGAAUUGUUGCUGCACAGUUUUACACAAAGUUUGGCAAAGCAGAUCGCUGUUUUACAGUAUUUUCUGAUUUCUUUUUCAUUUCACCUUACUUUUAGCUGCAAAUGAUUUUCUAAACAGGCAGGACCAAUGAUCCAGGUAACUGCCAGGCCUGAGAAAUGAUCUUUUAACCAAAGUUUUGAGUCACAUGCUGAUUUAUAGCUGCUCCAGUACUAAUCAAGUAAAUUGUAUUUGUAUUUGAAAUGGGAGGAUGACUGCCCCACCAAUAAUGUUUGAUAAAGCUAUUUUAGCAAAGGAAAGACAAUGUCCUCUAGAACAUGAACCUAUGUCCAUUUCUGAUGAAGCUGAUGAAGAAGCAGUUUGUUACGUUCGAAUAAAUGCUGUGAGAUCUUUCAUGUGAUGUUUAUAAUGUAUAGUUAUAGUAAUGCCAAUAAAAUGAAAAAACACCACUUUCAAAGAA